rnacentral:rRNA from 1 species
GACGAACGCUGGCGGCGUGCUUAACACAUGCAAGUCGAACGGAUUGCUUGGUGCUUGCACUGAGUGGUUAGUGGCGAACGGGUGAGUAACACGUGAGUAACCUGCCCCCUUCUUUGGGAUAAGCACCGGAAAGGGUGUCUAAUACUGAUUAUUCUGCUGGAAUCGCAUGGUUUGGGUUGGAAAGGGUUUUGUGGUGGGGGAUGGGCUCGCGGUGUGUCAGCUUGUGGGUGGGGUAAUGGCUUACCAAGGCUUUGACGGGUAACCGGCCUGAGAGGGUGACCGGUCACAUUGGGACUGAGAUACGGCCCAGACUCCUACGGGAGGAAGCAGUGGGGAAUAUUGCACAAUGGACGAAAGUCUGAUGCAGCGACGCCGCGUGAGGGAUGAAGGCCUUCGGGUUGUAAACCUUUUUCGCUUUUGACCAAGGCAGCAUUUUGGUGUUGUUGAGGGUAUGAGGUAAAGAAGCUCCGGCUAACUACGUGCCAGCAGCCGCCGUAAUAC